GUCAACUACCCUUCUCUGAAAGGAGGGGCUUGUAGGUAGCUAUAAGCUGAGUUGCCUAGGGUAAGUUACGGAGCUGUGGCAAUGCAAAGAAGUAACUACGUGAGCGAUAGGCAAGACCAGAUCUACUCCAGGAUGCUUACUCAGUCCUGGAUCCUGGAAGAAGGGGAUCAGGCUGGCGAAAGGCAAAGCGCCGAAGGUUCCCUUCUCCUGUGCAGGCGGCUAGCCGGUCGUGUGCUUUUCCGAGGGGAUCGAGUUGGGAACGCCAAC
rnacentral:sRNA from 1 species